UUUUAUCCACUUUGGAAGCCCACAAGUUUUACAAUACAUUAUAUAUAAUUGAAUAGGUUUUGGAUACUUCUUGGCCAAACAACCCAAAAAAAAAAACAGUAGUCUCUGUUACAAUUGAAAUAACACAAACUGAAACAGAAGUUACUACCAGUGAAGAUGCCAAAAGGAAAAGGAGCAAAAAGUGAGAAAUAUUGAGAGGAUCAAGCUUUCUUAAUUUGUUUGUUGUAGCAAGUCCAUUCAUACUCUGGUAGUAGGUACCGGCAUAGUGGUAAAAUGUUUGGUUACUCUCUGGUACUAUUGGGCUUUCUACAUAGUGGUAAAAUGUACACAUAGCAGAACCCGGUCAGUAUAAGAUCUAUAUAAAUAUUUGUUUGUUAUAAAAUAACCUGGGAUAUGUGCGAAUUUUGAGCUGUACGUAAAGUAGAUGAGACACAGCAUUUAACGAGGUUCGGCUAUGCCUACGUCCUCGGAGAGCAGCAGCAGUAACUUUUUCACUAUAUAAAAUAAUAGGGCUACAACUUUAGAGUUUACAAUAUGUGAGGCUCACUGAAUUUUCUCUCUCUUUCCUCUUCUCUCUUUCCUCCUCUCUUUCCUCUUCUUUCCUCUUCUCUCUUUCCUUUCUUCUUUUCUCCGUUGGUC
rnacentral:lncRNA from 1 species